UACGUAGGCAGCGAGCGUUGUUCGGAGUUACUGGGCGUAAAGAGUGCGUAGGCGGUUUUCUAAGUUUGGUGUGAAAUCUCCCGGCUCAACUGGGAGGGUGCGCCGAAUACUGAAUGACUAGAGUGCGGGAGAGGAGAGUGGAAUUCCUGGUGUAGCGGUGAAAUGCGUAGAUAUCAGGAAGAACACCCGUGGCUAAGGCGGCUCUCUAGUACGGGUACUGACGCUGAGACGCGAAAGCGUGGGGAGCGAACAGG
rnacentral:rRNA from 1 species